ensembl:lncRNA
GAAUUUAUUUAGGUUAAAGUUAUCAGCAGUUCUUAAGCUGUCCUCUAGAUUUGUACCCUGACUCUCACAGACAAGGCUACUGGGCUCCUCACUUCCAAAGCAGCACGUACAGACGGAGGCUCUUUGAAAGAAGGUGUGCGUCCUCUUUGAAAACAUAGCUGCCUGCUGUAUGAUUUCAGCCCAUGAUGAACAGUGCAUCGAUGCUGAGCACAACUACCCUAAGAGAUGUGCCAUUACGCGCUAUUACUGGAAUCGGCUGCUGGAAAUACAGACUAUGACAGAGCACCACAGCAAAGCAGCGUGGUGUUUUCAUGCAGAAAGGCAGAUUCCAUCACAGUCCCGGACCACAGUCAGCAAGCAUUAGACUGCUGCUAUCGGGUAGAGUCAUUCUAGCCAAGACACAAGAUUUAGCAGAUGUUUAGCAAAAGGUUCCAUUCGUCUUGCCACAGACACAUGUGGAGCUGUCAAGAGUCUAGUAAAGAUUUUACAAGUUUUAUAAGUCAUAGUUUAUUGAGCUUGGGAAAGAAUUUAAUAUGGCAUCACGAUCUUGGAAGCUGUUUUUUUUCUGGCAUAACAUGUUUUAAUUUGUUUCUAAAGGUCAGUAAGGAUGGAGAAAUAUGGCUUGCUGGCAUGGCGGAGAGCAUGAUGGAGGUAAAGGAGACGACCACUUUGAGAAGAAGACUCACUGCAUCUGAAACACAUGCUGCUGAGGACAACCGGUCUGUUCAUGGGCCCCCAGAAGUGGAGCUGCUUGUCCAAAAGAUGUUGUUGUCCAAAGAUACCCCACAGGUAGUCGAGGACCCUGUGGAUCAACAGCAGAGCUGGGAACAUGAGCCAACUCUGAGGCUCUUCAGGGAAAUACUCUGUGAAACGUAACAAUAGAGAUUUUGGGGACGGAGAGGAAGAAAGCAGGAAAUGUGAUGGGACUGUAGGAGAGCAGCAAGCACAGCAGGACCAGCAGCAGCCAGAAAGAAGGUUUAGCAGGGUGUCGCAAAGCUGGCAUGUUUGGCUCCUGCCUUGGCAAGCUUUGGGAACCUGAGUUAUAGCUGGAAAUUUCCCCUGGCUCGGGUUUCUGGGUCACCUGUGAUGCUCAGACUGUUGCUAGCAUCUGCACUGGGGAGCAGAGCCUGACAUUACAGCUGUUGAGGUCCAAGACAGACACUACCAGCAACAGGCUCCCAAUAUUUUUGGCACACCCUUUCCCCACAUUUCUCCUCCUGUUCCCUCUUUGUCUCCUGUCUUCCUUCCCAACACUGGGGUACAAACAACUUCACGUUAAUUUAACCUAACAGCUAACACCUAAAGCAAAAAAGAUGUAUACUUGAAAGACCUCCAACCUCAGUGUGUUUUUCCUUCAUCCAGCACAAAUGUGCGUGACCAGAUGGACCAGAUAGGCAUCCUCUGCCCCCCCCCACGCACCACACCUGAGCAGUCUCUCCAGAUGUGUUCAGAAGUCUGGACAACCCAGGACAGCCCAGCACAACCCUCCUCAGCAUCGCUGGGGCCAUCCUUCAUCUCCUUAGUCGUGCUGCCCCUCCACAGUGAGACAUCCCCCUCCUGAUCCUUCCUCCUGCUUCACACUUGCUUUUUCUGCAGAAGUCCCUCUGGGUAUCAUGUUAUCAGUAGAUCACAUCUGAAUUUUGCACCUGUGAAUGUAAGGCUCGUGUCUCUUCUUGCCAAGUCCAUCUCAGAUGGCUGGGGGGUCAGGGCAGCCACAUCCCCCCUGCACCUCCAACCCCCAAGCCCCCACAGCCCCGCACUGCAGAGCUGCCAGGAGCUGGGGCAGGAGGACAGUUUUGUUAGCGUUAGUACUGAAGCAGCAUUUUAAGCCAGUCACAAGCCAAGGCUGGGUUUUCACAACAAAAAUUUGGAUUUAGAGGGUGGACUCCCUCCUGAAUCCUGAAAACCCGCUGCCUGGUGGAUGCCUAAUUCUGCAAGUAGGUCACGCCUGCUCUCUGCCUCUGGGUACGGCGGAGACUUGACAGGUCUAAAUAAUAACUCUUAUCUCCUCGCUCUUUGAUGUGAGAUGUCACUAAGAUGUUCCCUGCCAUUCACUUUUCAUUUCUCCUCUUCCCUUUCUGUAAAACUCUGCUGAACACACAAGUUAAUGAAUGAUAAGACAUUUCUAGGUCUCACCGGUUUUGGCAGCACACAGUCUCCCCUUGCCAGCCUCUGACGUGGCCCUUUGCAUUGCCCUGCUGUGGGAGACCUGCUGGCAGGACCACGAUGUCCAGUGUGCAGAGCCCAAAGCUGACAGCCCUCUGCCUAUAAAAGAAUCACAAGUUGCACUUACUGCUUGUGUAAGGAUGUGUGCGUGCAUAUGCACGGUCUUUACAUCAAAAUGCUGCUUGUGUAUGACACCACGGAUAACAUCUCAUCCUGUCCUCUUACAGUCUCCAGCUCAUCGCUCUGUAAAGAGUUGCAGAUCUAAGCUUUAAAUAAAGUUGGGAGUUGAAAGCUGUGCA